CGGAGGGUGCGAGCGUUGUCCGGAAUCACUGGGCGUAAAGGGCGCGUAGGUGGCGUCGCAGGUCAACGGUGAAAGCUCGACGCUCAACGUCGAGUCGGCCGUCGAGACUGCGAGGCUGGAGCACUGUAGAGGCUCAUGGAAUUCCGGGUGUAGCGGUGGAAUGCGUAGAGAUCCGGAAGAACACCGGUGGCGAAGGCGGUGAGCUGGGCAGUUGCUGACACUGAGGCGCGACAGCGUGGGGAGCAAACAGGAUUAGAUACCCUGGUAGUCCACGCCGUAAACGACGGGCACUAGGUGCUUGGGGGAGCGACCCCCUGAGUGCCGACGCUAACGCAUUAAGUGCCCCGCCUGGGGAGUACGGCCGCAAGGCUG
rnacentral:rRNA from 1 species